UACGUAGGGGGCAAGCGUUGUCCGGAAUUAUUGGGCGUAAAGAGCUCGUAGGCGGCUUGUCGCGUCGGAUGUGAAAGCCCGGGGCUUAACUUCGGGUCUGCAUUCGAUACGGGCAGGCUAGAGUUCGGUAGGGGAGAUCGGAAUUCCUGGUGUAGCGGUGAAAUGCGCAGAUAUCAGGAGGAACACCGGUGGCGAAGGCGGAUCUCUGGGCCGAUACUGACGCUGAGGAGCGAAAGCGUGGGGAGCGAACAGG
rnacentral:rRNA from 1 species